rnacentral:piRNA from 1 species
UACUGAAGCAAAGAAAGAAAAUGGAAAUC